CCCUCAGAGAAAACACCGGCCUCGGCAGAUUUGCGGUUCGUGUUAUCUUCAGCUGUAAAAGCCAGCUGAACCAACAGAGCGCCCUUCUCUGCUUCCUGCAGUCCAGAGGUUUGCAGAGGAACUACUGUAAGACACCAGUCCCCUCUGGCUUUGCAGACAACCUUUUCAGAGGAAGCCUAAACUGCUGAAGUCGACAAAAAUCCCCGUACAUUAUCAAGUUCCAUCCAAGGCCGAUCUGUUACCAUCAGCCCUGCGCCUGGUCAGAGAGAAGGAUGACUCAACACUGAUUGGUAUUAUCUACAUUCUUUAAGUGGUUUCCUGCAGAGCUAUCCCUCUCUCACCUGCUCCACACAUCCAGAAAAGCACUGAAGAGAAAAUGUUUAGAAGCGACUCAUGAGGAAUGGCACAAAGGAAAGAUGCUAACACUCCAGUGACAUGGAACCUUCCAGGUAACACCCUGGAGAAACAAGUCCUCUGCUUAAUUUGCCCGCAGUCAGGUAAAUAAGGGCACAACUACUCUAAUCACAUCUGCUGGUCCUCCAUGAUGUUAGCCCAUUAGGACCACAGCACAGUCAGCUGUCAUGAUGGAGGAGGCUGGUGGACAGCCCUACCCAUGAAGUGCAGUUUGGAGGAGCAGCAUGUCCCUCAAUGAAAAGAGUGCCAUGUCCACAAUGAAAGGAGACAAUGAACGGGACCAUGGAGGAAAGCACUCGGUGGAGGACCAAUAGGAAAACAUCGAGUGUCCAUGGAAGGAGAUCCGAUGAUGGUGGGUUAUCCAGUGAGGUCUGUGGCCUGGGAGGAAGGUUUGAUGACCUCCAUUAACGCCCAGUCUGGAGGUAUAAACAUUCCUGCUUAGAGAAAAGUAGGACACUGAUAGGCCAGGUAGGA